rfam:Oryza sativa Japonica Group DNA, chromosome 11, cultivar: Nipponbare, complete sequence.
GGAUGCUAUCAUACCAGCACUAAAGCACCGGAUCCCAUCAGAACUCCGAAGUUAAGCGUGCUUGGGCGAGAGUAGUACUAGGAUGGGUGACCUCCUGGGAAGUCCUCGUGUUGCAUCCC